CCUAAUUAUAUUUUAGGAGUGACGGGCGAUAUGUGCAUAUAGACUGAGCUUUUCUAAUUUAAUUAUUUUUCUAAUUUUUAAUUUUAAGUCCUUCUUUUUCACUUUAUGGAGUGUUUUAGAUUCUAUUGUGUCGCAGUUUUUUCUUUACUAUUUUCUUUGUCUUGAUUUGUAUUAUGCUUUUUAAAUUGUUAGAAGGAUAUUAAUUUAUUCUUCUUCAUACAAUGAUAUGAAAGAUUAUAAAUAAAGUAUUUUUAAAUCGUGGGUUAUCGAUUAUAUACCAAGACCCCCUAAUUGCCUUCUACACCGCCAUUUCAGUUGGUUUUUUUUUUAUUUUAAAUUUCCUUUUUUAUUUUACUA
rnacentral:rRNA from 1 species